CGAAAAAAAGGGGCAAACCUUCGUGAAGAACAGAUGUUCUGCUUCGUGAGUUGUAUGAUGAGCUCUUAUGUGUAUAUAAAUUCGUGCCGAUACGCGCUGCUUCUUUAUUCAAGAGAAGGCUUCCUCGAGGGAUUGACGGCUGUCCUUGCCAUGGUCUGGGAUGGAGUAUCCUCCUCCCAUCUAUUCUUCCUUCCCGUCGCUUCUCUCCCUUCCGAUGAAGAAGCCCUCAAGUUCGACCGGAAUCGUCGCCUUUUGUGUCCCCUUUAAUUCUCGAACCCUAGUUUCCUUUCUGUCGAUAUGAAAAACUUUCUUCUACUGUUUCUGAAUUCCUGAGAACAAGUGACGCCUUGUGACUACAAGGAACUAUUCGACAAUGAACUUGGCUUCUUUUCCUCGUCUCGAUUCCUUUUUCGUUUCAAAGCAUGUGAUGAUAGAUGUAGCCUCCCAAACUGGUCAGGUUUCGAGAUGCUGCAAUUUGACGGAGUUGAAAGGGGCAUUCUUUUCCUUGUGUGGGAUGAAUCCGGCAUUCGACCAUCAUUUCUUACCCUUUCAAUGUGGUGGAUUUGUUCAUAACGGCAAGCUAUUGGCCCUUCCGGUAAUGUAUGGAGUGGAUAGUGUGUGAAGGAAUGAGCUUCGGGAAGAUCUUUCUCUUCAUAUGGCAUAGUUAGGUGGCAAUUCCCUUUGUGAACUACAAAAGUAGUGUUAAAGGGUUUACUGACCGUAGUUCUGUCCCAUCAAUUCCAGACUGUGAUCCAUACAGGGGAAUAAGCUACUGCCUCAACCCUUGAACUGUCUAAGCGGGUAAAAUCCAAAUUUGAUUAAUUCAAUAAGCUCGCCAGUUUGGUGGCCAAUUGGGGUGAUGUUGAGAUGAGCUCAACCUAUCUAAGAAUUACAGCGUUGCCUAUGCUGCAAAAUCCAGGCCCUGCCAAGGUUGAGAUUAUUUUUUCCAUGAACGUGUUAUAGCCUCCUGCCUUUUUGCUUGUGAUAAUCACUGGAUUUUGUCCUGUAUAUGACAUUUUUUUUAUAAAAAAAUCUCAUUUAUUUGCUGCCCCAAUUCUUCUUUUUGCCUGC